rnacentral:misc_RNA from 1 species
CUGAGUAUCUUACUCUCUAAACCCAUGUGAACCUUACCACUGUUGCCUCGGUGGUUGGCUGUUCGGUGGACUCUUCGGGGUCCCUGUGCGGCUAUAGCCACCGGUGGACCAACUAAACUCUUGUUUUAUAGUGUCUCUCUGAGUAACUACAAAAAUAAAUCA